rnacentral:misc_RNA from 1 species
GAUGAAGAACGUAGCCAAAUGCGAUAAGUAAUGUGAAUUGCAGAAUUCAGUGAAUCAUCGAAUCUUUGAACGCACAUUGCGCCCGUCAGUAUUCUGGCGGGCAUGCCUGUUCGAGCGUCAUUACGCCCCUCAAGUCCCCUGUGGACUUGGUGUUGGGGAUCGGCGAGGCUGGUUUUCCAGCACAGCCGUCCCUUAAAUUAAUUGGCGGUCUCGCCGUGGCCCUCCUCUGCGCAGUAGUAAAACACUCGCAACAGGAGCCCGGCGCGGUCCACUGCCGUAAAACCCCCCAACUUUUUAUAGUUGACCUCGAAUCAGGUAGGACUACCCGCUGAACUUAAGCAUAUCAAUAAGCGGAGGA